UACGUAGGGUCCGAGCGUUGUCCGGAAUUACUGGGCGUAAAGAGCUCGUAGGUGGUUUGUCGCGUUGUUCGUGAAAACUCACAGCUCAACUGUGGGCGUGCGGGCGAUACGGGCAGACUGGAGUACUGCAGGGGAGACUGGAAUUCCUGGUGUAGCGGUGGGAUGCGCAGAUAUCAGGAGGAACACCGGUGGCGAAGGCGGGUCUCUGGGCAGUAACUGACGCUGAGGAGCGAAAGCGUGGGGAGCGAACAGG
rnacentral:rRNA from 1 species